rnacentral:rRNA from 1 species
AGAUUGAACGCUAGCGGGAUGCUUUACACAUGCAAGUCGAACGGCAGCGCGGACUUCGGUCUGGCGGCGAGUGGCGAACGGGUGAGUAAUAUAUCGGAACGUGCCCAGUAGCGGGGGAUAACUACGCGAAAGCGUGGCUAAUACCGCAUACGCCCUACGGGGGAAAGGGGGGAUUCUUCGGAACCUCUCACUAUUGGAGCGGCCGAUAUCAGAUUAGCUAGUUGGUGAGGUAAAGGCUCACCAAGGCGACGAUCUGUAGCUGGUUUGAGAGGACGACCAGCCACACUGGGACUGAGACACGGCCCAGACUCCUACGGGAGGCAGCAGUGGGGAAUUUUGGACAAUGGGGGAAACCUGAUCCAGCCAUCCCGCGUGUGCGAUGAAGGCCUGGUUGUAA